rnacentral:rRNA from 1 species
GACGAACGCUGGCGGCGUGCUUAACACAUGCAAGUCGAGCGGUAAGGCCCUUCGGGGUACACGAGCGGCGAACGGGUGAGUAACACGUGGGUGAUCUGCCUCGCACUCUGGGAUAAGCCUGGGAAACUGGGUCUAAUACCGGAUAUGACCACGGAUCGCAUGGUUUGUGGUGGAAAGAUUUAUCGGUGCGAGAUGGGCCCGCGGCCUAUCAGCUUGUUGGUGGGGUAAUGGCCUACCAAGGCGACGACGGGUAGCCGACCUGAGAGGGUGACCGGCCACACUGGGACUGAGACACGGCCCAGACUCCUACGGGAGGCAGCAGUGGGGAAUAUUGCACAAUGGGCGAAAGCCUGAUGCAGCGACGCCGCGUGAGGGAUGACGGCCUUCGGGUUGUAAACCUCUUUCGACAGGGACGAAGCGCAAGUGACGGUACCUGUAGAAGAAGCACCGGCCAACUACGUGCCAGCAGCC